rnacentral:lncRNA from 1 species
GUCCCCUGCACUGCUUAAUUCAACCAAGGGUUUUUCUCUGUUCAGUUUCAGCCAUGGCUUCUUUACCAGUGAUGUUUUCCUUCAUAAUUCUCCUGUUACCAUCCAUGCUCACUGAAGGAAGGUCAUGACAUCUUUACCAGUGAUGUUAUUUCUCAUAAUUCUACUGCUGCCAUCCAUGAUCACUGAAGGAAGGAGAACGUAAGAAGAAUAUGAAGAUAGAGACUAAGGUUGAGCUCCCUACCUCUGGCUGCUAUAGUACCCACUAGUGACAUGUAGGAACUGGACACGUAAAGAGGGAGAUGUGCUCCAAAUAUAUGACACUUACCAGCUGUCAAAGAUGCAUAUUAAAGGGCUUGAGUAUCUGAGUAAAACAUUAAAAGUUGAGUUCAGAUAUAAAGCUUGAAAUUAGACCAUGGUAAAAUGUGAGACAGGGGCAGAAGACUCCAGCACUGAAAAAAGGACCUUACCUCAAAUAUAGACCAAUAUGAGAACCAAGAGCCAAAUUUCUUUGCUAAUCUGUAUAGCAUGUGAAGUUGGCCUCAACUGGAAGAGAUAACUCCUCAUUCCUCUGUAGUAUGCUCAUAUUUCCCAAUCAAGUUUGAG